rnacentral:rRNA from 1 species
GACAGAGGGUGCAAACGUUGUUCGGAAUUACUGGGCGUAAAGCGCGUGUAGGCGGCUAAGUAAGUCGGGCGUGAAAUCCCACGGCUCAACCGUGGAAGUGCACUCGAAACUGCAUAGCUAGAGUCCUGGAGAGGAAGGUGGAAUGCUUGGUGUAGAGGUGAAAUUCGUAGAUAUCAAGCGGAACACCGGUGGCGAAGGCGGCCUUCUGGACAGUGACUGACGCUGAGACGGCGAAAAGCGUGGGGAGCAAACAGGG